UACGUAGGGUGCAAGCGUUAAUCGGAAUUACUGGGCGUAAAGCGUGCGCAGGCGGUUUUGUAAGACAGAGGUGAAAUCCCCGGGCUCAACCUGGGAACUGCCUUUGUGACUGCAAGGCUUGAGUGCGGCAGAGGGGGAUGGAAUUCCGCGUGUAGCAGUGAAAUGCGUAGAUAUGCGGAGGAACACCGAUGGCGAAGGCAAUCCCCUGGGCCUGCACUGACGCUGAGACGCGAAAGCGUGGGGAGCAAACAGG
rnacentral:rRNA from 1 species